rnacentral:rRNA from 1 species
GUGGCGGACGGGUGAGUAACGCGUGGGGAACCUGCCUCAGCCCGGGGGAUAGCAGCUGGAAACGGCUGGUAAUACCGCAUAAGCGCACAGCUCCGCAUGGAGCGGUGUGAAAAACUCCGGUGGUCUGAGAUGUACCCGCGUCUGAUUAGCCAGUUGGCGGGGCAACGGAUUACCAAAUUGGCGGGGUAAAGGCCCCCCAAAGCGACGAUCGGCAACCGGCCUGAUAGGGCGCGGGGCCACGUUGGUACUGAGACACCGCCSGGGGUCCUACCGCAGGCGAAAGUGGGGAGAAUUGCACACUGGGGGAAACUCUGAAGCAGCUUCGCCACGUAAAGGAAGAACAGCUCGGUUUGUAAAGCUCUGUCAGCAGGGAAGAAAGGCCCCACAAGGCCAGAUGACGGUACCUGAAAAAAAAGCCCCGGAUAAUUACGU